rnacentral:lncRNA from 1 species
UAGAGGAGGCAAGAAUGAUGGGGAAGAGGAAUUGAACCAUCGACAUCGCCUAAGCGGAAGGAGAAAGGAGCACUUGUUCGAGAAUCCUCAUUUUUGAGAAAGUCGCUGCACCAAUAGAGAAGUGGAGAGGUGGUCGGGAUAAAAUCGAAGAAGAAGAAGGGUUGCGGUGGCGAAGAUAGUUGGAGAGAAGAGGGGAUAGCCGGAGAGAAGAGGCUAUUAUGAUCAGAAGAGAUCCAAAGAAGAGAGGGAGAUGGGGAAGGGGCGACAGUGGACCGGGAGAGAGCCAAAGAAGAGAGAGAGAUGGGGAAGGGGCGGCAGUGGUUCGGGAGAGAGCCGAAGAAGAGAGGG